CGCAGCGAGGAGGAGCGGCGGGAGCGGCGCGAGUACGCGGUGCGGGGUCGCGUGGCCGCCGGAGAUGCUGGGCGUGGCGGCAGGAAUGACCAACAGUGAAUUGAAGAGUCCAGAGCCAGCUCUUCCGAGUGCCUGUGACAGCACUUGAAUAAACUCACAGAACUUGGGGUAAGAUGAGAUGGCCUUCACAUGUGGUUUAACUUAACUCUGCAGACAGAGACCCAGCAUCCAUGGACCACUGGGAAGAAGUUCAAAUGAUGUCAUCCCUGUUUAGAUUAUUUCAUUUCAUGGCUAGGCUGCUCUUUUGGAAACUUUCUUAGUAAUAACCAUCUUUUAUUAAUGACCUGCGAUGACACGAGUACUUUAAAGGAGUUAAACAUCUGUUUCACAAAUCUGACAUGGCUGCACUUUGAGGCAGGGUUUUAAUGCCCAUUUUACAGAUGAGGAAACAGCACAGGAGGUUGGGAAGUCCCCACGUCCCAGGGACAGGGUGAGAUGAGCCGAGGUUGAUGCUGAGCUGUGCCCCUUCCCCGUGUCCCCUGCCGUUCAGGCGAGGCUGUGGCUCCCACUUCUCCUUGCUUUCAAGGCGUCCUCUUCGUGUGGCUAAUAGUUGCUCCCCGAGCACGGCAGCCGCGAGGGAGCUACAUCAUCUCAACUGCCGGACGGUCCUUCUUUCUGAACUUGGAGGGUCCCGGAUCUCACUCUGGAGGCCCAGCAGAGAACGCAGAAACAAAAUAGUGAAGAGUGGAGUGGCUUUAAAAUACUUUAGACGUAUAGAGAAGAGUGGCUUUAAAAACACUUUUUGGGCAGAUCUCGUCAAUGUCUUAAUGGAAGACAGAUGGCUUUCGUUCUUUUGUAAUACUUCAUGUCACGUAGCUUCUGGAAGACUUCACAGUGACCCGGGAGAGGAGAGUGAGAGAGGCAGUUGCCGUCUUGGUGUUGGUGUGAACGUGGCCUCGACCUGCACGUCUUCUUGGAAGCUGCGGCCCAGAAGCCUGACUGGGCUCCCACACCCGUGACUGCGUGAGCGAAGGCGGUGGGUCCUCCCGUCAGGAGGCGAUGAUGUUGGCAGCUGUGGAUGAUCAGGGCCCUCGAUCAGACCUCUUCUCUAAAGGACCACUGUGGUAGAUACUGUCACCUCGCCUCAGCUGUGCUGUUGUAGCGUGAAAGCCGCUGUAGACAGCAUGUAAGUAAAUGGGCACAACUGCGUUCCAAUGACCUUUUAACUACAGAUGCUGAAAUUUGAAUUUCAUGGAAUUUUCACACGUCGCGAAGUAUUAACCUUUAGAUUUUUUCCCAGCCUUCAAACUGUUAAGAACCUGGGAAGUAUGGAUCAGAUGGACAUUUUCCUAUUCCUCCCACUAAGCACAAUAAACACUGGACAUUAUGUAUAAAACAAGCGUAAGACUCUGAAAUAUGGGGAAUUCCCUGGCAGUCCAGUGGUUAAGACUCGGUGCUUUCAAUGCCGUGGGCCUGGGUUUGAUCCCUGGUCGGGGAACUAAGAUCCCACAAGCUGCAUGACGCGGCCAAAAAGAAAAGUUCUGAAAUGUGGAGAGAAGAAGGCAAGCUGGCAGGGACCAUGGGGCCUGAUGAACGAUGGGGUGACGAGUUGUCUGCGUUUUCUUUUUACCUUCUUAUCCCCGUCUUAUCCCAGACUCUGGCCAUCUAGAAAUGCCAGCAGGUACAGACCAAAAACAUGUCACAACGAAGACUGUUCUCUGUGGGACCAGGAAAGACAGUCUAACAAGAAAAAUGUUUAGACAGUAAAUGCUCGACUUCAACCAGACACCCAGAAACAACUGUGGCCUCACCCGCACUCACGGCAGAGAAAAUAGACUGGGGAACAGAGCAAAGCCUUGGGGACCUGUGGGACCUUGGAAUUCUGAAAGCAGAGGAGGAAGAGCCUGGGGUAGAAGAGGCCCAGAGGAAAUAAUGGCUAAAGAUUUCCCCAAAUUGGCAAGAAACGUAAACCUACAGAUUCAAGAGGCUGCACACACCACAAAUAGGAUAAACCCAGGAAAAUUCAGGCCAAGACAUAUCAUAAUUAAGCUUCUAAAAACUAAAGACAUUUAAAAAGCAAACAACCUUGAAAGGGACUUCCCUGGUGGUCCAGUGGCUAAGAGUCUGUGCUCCCAAUGCAGGGGACCUGAGUUCAAUCCCUGGUCAGGGAACUAGAUUAGGUCCCACACGCCGCAACUAAAAGUUCGCAUGCCACAGCUAAAGAUCUCGCAUGCCGCAGCUAAGACCCGGUGUAGCCAAAUAAAUAAAGAGAUAAAUAUUAAAGCAACAACAACAAAAACCAACCUUGAAAGCAGCCAGAGCAAAUUGACACUAUUCGUUUAUGGGAAGGAAUUGGACAGACAACGUUUUCAUCAGAGACUUUGGAGGUUAGAGGGAAGCAGCACAGUGUUUUUGGUGUUGGACUCUCACAUCUCCAGAUGGGGGGGGGGGACUGAAGGUCCUUAUAAGGACCCUGCAGAUCUCAGCUUCCUCUAAGCUUCUGUUAGAAACACAGGCUGGCUUCUCCAGAUGCAGACCGUCUGGCUGAGAACUGCAGUUGUUUGGAUUUGAAAUUUUGC